AUGAGGAAGAUCAGUAAUGACAUGGAGGAAAUGUGUGGAAUCCUGGACCUUUACAUGUAUGAGGAUUUGAACUACAGGAUGAACACUGAAUUCAACAUCAUUAAAUCACAACAUGAGAAGACAAUGUUGGAUAUGAAUAAAAUGAUCCAGUCCAUAAUUGGUUCCAUGCAGUACUCCAAGGAACUGAUAGAAGAUAACUAUUCCUACAGGUGA
rnacentral:lncRNA from 1 species